GGAUUUUGUUGGAGUUAGUGUCAAAAGCCUUGCUGAAAUAAAGAUAAAUCACUUCCACUGGCCUGAUGUUGGAAUUAAACUGACCAGGAAAACUGCCCUUCAGCUAUGAACACAAGUUCUCAACCCGUGCAAAAUGAGUGUUCAUUGUGUAUAACAGAACAUUCUUCCAAAUAUCUCAAAGUCUUUCUUGGAGUCAAUUAAAAUGCACAAAUGAAUCAAGUGAGUUGCCUAAGGUAGAAUUGCAAAGUCUAACUUGUGCAGCAAUAUCUCCAGGGUCAGAUAAGGUAGCUGGUGGUGUGCAGCUGAGGAGGGGAGGAGGAAAAUGGACACCUCUGUCAAGGUAGAUCCCAUAUUACUUCAAGAGACCUGUCAAAAGAUUUAAAACAAAACAAGACCCCCUCCAAAAAAACCCCAAACAACCAGCAAACUGAAACCAACAGAAAAAGAAACACAAAACCAACCAACCAAAAAACAAAACAAAACCAAAAAACCACAAAGCAACCAACCAACGAAAAAACCCAAACCAAACCAAAAGAAAAAAAAAAAAAAAGCAAAAAACACAAACCAACCAUUUGGUCAUUUGUCCAAAGAACUGAAACAAAAUACUGUCUGCUCUUGAGGUUGUUUAAUGUUGAAGAAAGACAUUUCCCAGGAGACUUACGGAAAACUUUAGCUAUACAUCAUUUGGGAUGUUUGUGUCUUUGUGUCUGAUAAUGGGAUCCUUACUCCAGUUCACACUAUUCUUCUUCUUUUUAUUAUUCCAGACAGCCCAAAUUCCAGUCACGAAGAUGAUCCCCUACCUGAGGGGCAGACAAAGCUGUGCUUUGCUACAGCAGCAUUCCCAUCCCUGUGGAUGAUGGGUUGCCUUGAAGUUUUCAAGAUCAGCAAAAUGCUGGUGUGUCAUUACAUUUUAUCAAAAAGGCUUCUUGAAUAGGAACACAAUCAUGCAACUGAGUGUGUCAAAACAUCACACUGCUCCACUGUUUUGAAAUAUCUGAGGAUGGAGUUACCCCUGACUACAAAGUGACAGAGAGAGAGACGGUGUGUAAUGCAUCUGCACUGCCUCAGCUCCCCAGAGGAGCUCAUUCAGGGGCUGUGCAGAUCUCUCUGAUCAUGUACGUUUACCAGAGUUUAAAACUAAAAGUGGUAAGAAAGUAAAGCACUCUGAUAUCUUUUACUGCAUACCAACCUUUCUUUUCCUCAUACAUGUGCCGCAUAUGAAGCCGGUAAGUCCAUUGAUGAUUUGAAUAAAACAAAGAACAGCUUCAAUCACACCGAUGGCCAGGAGAAUAGAGAAAAGAACGAUAUUCCAAAGGAUGAUGUUUUCAGGUUCUUUGCAAAUGCUCCAUGUUGUCUGGUUGAACAAAUAAUUCUCUCUGUGAUAAAGGAAAAUAAUUGGCAACUUAUUUGAAAAUAAAGAUUUGAUAAUGCUUUCUGUGUUA